CGGGGUGCGGAACACGUGUGCAACCUGCCUUUAUCUGGGGGAUAGCCUUUCGAAAGGAAGAUUAAUACUCCAUAAUAUAUUGAACGGCAUCGUUUAAUAUUGAAAGCUCCGGCGGAUAGAGAUGGGCACGCGCAAGAUUAGCUAGUUGGUGAGGUAACGGCUCACCAAGGCGAUGAUCUUUAGGGGGCCUGAGAGGGUGAUCCCCCACACUGGUACUGAGACACGGACCAG
rnacentral:rRNA from 1 species